CCUACGGGAGGCAGCAGUGAGGAAUAUUGGUCAAUGGACGAGAGUCUGAACCAGCCAAGUAGCGUGAAGGAUGACUGCCCUAUGGGUUGUAAACUUCUUUUAUAAAGGAAUAAAACGAGGCACGUGUGCCUUUUUGCAUGUACUUUAUGAAUAAGGAUCGGCUAACUCCGUGCCCGCAGCCGCGGUAAUACGGAGGAUCUGAGCGUUAUCCGGAUUUAUUGGGUUUAAAGGGAGCGUAGAUGGGUUGUUAAGUCAGUUGUGAAAUUUUGCGGCUCAACCGUAAAAUUGCAAUUGAUACUGGCAGUCUUGAGUACAGUUGAGGUAGGCGGAAUUCGUGGUGUAGCGGUGAAAUGCUUAGAUAUCACGAAGAACCCCGAUUGCGAAGGCAGCUUACUAAACUGUGACUGACAUUGAUGCUCGAAAGUGUGGGUAUCAAACAGGAUUAGAUACCCUAGUAGUC
rnacentral:rRNA from 1 species